rnacentral:rRNA from 1 species
CUACGGGCCGCUGCAGUGGGGAAUAUUGGACAAUGGGGGGAACCCUGAUCCAGCCAUGCCGCGUGUGUGAAGAAGGCCUUUUGCUUGUAAAGCACUUUAAGCAGUGAAGAAGACUCUUCGGUUAAUACCCGGGGACGAUGACAUUAGCUGCAGAAUAAGCACCGGCUAACUCUGUGCCAGCAGCCGCGGUAAUACAGAGUGGUGCAAGCGGUAAUCGGAAUUACUGGGCGUAAAGCGAGCGUAGGUGGCUUGAUAAGUCAGAUGUGAAAUCCCCGGGCUUAACCUGGGAACUGCAUCUGAAACUGUUAGGCUAGAGUAGGUGAGAGGGAAGUAGAAUUUCAGGUGUAGCGGUGAAAUGCGUAGAGAUCUGAAGGAAUACCGAUGGCGAAGGCAGCUUCCUGGCAUCAUACUGACACUGAGGCUCGAAAGCGUGGGUAGCAAACAGGAUUAGAUACCCCUGUAGUC